UAAAGGGGCAGCAAUAGUAAUGAAUGAAGCGCAC
rnacentral:sRNA from 1 species